rnacentral:rRNA from 1 species
GACGAACCGUGUGAACGUUAUUCGGAAUCACUGGGCUUAAAGCGCGUGUAGGCGGGAGGGCACGUCCGUUGCUGAAAGCCCCCGGCUCAACCGGGGAAGUGGGGCCGAAACGACCCGUCUGGAGGGACGUAGGGGGAUCUGGAACUUCCGGUGGAGCGGUGAAAUGCGUUGAGAUCGGGAGGAACACCUGCGGCGAAAGCGGCUCACUGGACCAUAACUGACGCUGAUGCACGAAAGCUAGGGGAGCAAACAGG